GCCCGGGUGGCGGAACUGGCAGACGCGGGGGACUCAAAAUCCCCUGCCCUUACGGGCGUGCGGGUUCGAGUCCCGCCCCGGGCACCA
rnacentral:tRNA from 1 species